rnacentral:rRNA from 1 species
GACGAACGCUGGCGGCGUGCUUAACACAUGCAAGUCGAACGGAAAGGCCCUGCUUUUGUGGGGUGCUCGAGUGGCGAACGGGUGAGUAACACGUGAGUAACCUGCCCUUGACUUUGGGAUAACUUCAGGAAACUGGGGCUAAUACCGGAUAGGAGCUCCUGCUGCAUGGUGGGGGUUGGAAAGUUUCGGCGGUUGGGGAUGGACUCGCGGCUUAUCAGCUUGUUGGUGGGGUAGUGGCUUACCAAGGCUUUGACGGGUAGCCGGCCUGAGAGGGUGACCGGAAAGGUGGGGAAGAGGAGACGGACCAGCGUCCUAGGGGAGGAGGGAGUGGAGAUGAUAGCACAGGGGGCGGAAGGCUGAGGGACAACGGGGGGGGGGGGGAUGUGGGCUUUGUCAUUGUAACCCGCUGGCGCGUGGGACGAGGCGGGGGGGAGGGUAAGGGGAACAGAAGCACCGGUUAACUAAGUGCCAGGAGCGGAGGGAAUGGACGGAGAGCAAUUUCUGAUC